UUAAAAAAAAAAAAAAAGAAAAAAAAGAAAAAAAAAAAAAAAGAAAAAAAUUUACUAGAAAUAGGCUUUCUACAUAUGCAUCGUCCAAAACAACGAUUUUUAUCAGCUGUAGCAAAAAAAGCAACUUCAUAGAAGUCAAAAUGUGAAGAAAAAAAUAUGCCUAGAUACUUUUUUCUAUGGAUAAAGGAUCUAAUUGAUAGAGGAAGCAUCGUAAAGAUCAAUUAGCGAGAUUUUUGGCCGAUACAAUAAGAACUGCUUACUUAUGUCAUAAUAUGAGACAAAAGUUAGGAAUCAACUUAUGUAACAGAGUCGGUCCCCUAAAGUAUUGAGCAGCGGUGUAGCAUCAGAUCCCAAAGAUAGUAAGUCUUUCUUAUGAGGGAAGGUCUUUUUCAAAGAUUCUAUAUAUAUUUAUAUAUAAAACCGAGAUAGUUACCUUUCAGAAAAUUCUAACGAUAGUAGAACAGCUACGCUUUAUUCUUCUGAAGGUGGGAGAAAAGAUAAAACUGAUUAUUAAUCAAAAACAAGUUUGAAACUUAUGUAAUUAACCCUUUUUGGUUAACUCGAGAAAAAAAAAAAAGUGGGACACCAAAAGAAUUGACUACUGAGCCGUAUGAGGUAGGAAACUCUCAAGUACGGUUCUAAUGGAAGGAAUUUGCUUGCCUAUUCUGACCGAGGAGAACAGGCCAUUCGGCAGGGAGAUUCUGAAAUUGCGGAGGCUUGGUUCGAUCAAGCCGCGGAGUAUUGGAAACAAGCUAUAGCGCUUACUCCCGGAAAUUAUAUUGAAGCGCAGAAUUGGUUGAAAAUCACAAGGCGUUUCGAAUAAGAUAAGAGCACUCUCUUUGUAUUUAUUAUUUAGUAUUUUUUUUUAGUAUUUGUUACAUUUUUCUAUUUCUUAUAACAAAUUUGUUAUAAUUAAUUGUUUGUUAUCCCUAUCAGUCAAAUAAAACAGAUCGUUUCUCUGGGAAGAACCAAUCAAAGAAUUUCAUGAAUUUCAUUAUACCACUUCUAAGAUCGUCCCCCUUUUGUCUGGUAUUUCAUAGGAAUAAACGAUACAAUAGGAAUAAAUGAUACACAGAUAUAAACAGUAAAGAAUGUAUAUUUUCUAUAUUUUUUUUUCUUUUCUGUUAUUAAAACAAAUAAAAGAAACCUUGAAAUGCCUAAAAAUAGAAUAGAUCCCGGAAUGUCUCUUAGUAAUGACCUCUCGCCUGAUUUGGAAUAGAGUAAUAGUAAUAUGUUCUAUGUAAAGUAAAACAUAAAUAAAACAGAAAGUAGUCUCCGCCAGAAACUUUUAAUUAAGAUAGGAAUAUACUAGGUUGCACAAAAAAUUGUUUUUGCACUAAUUCAAAGCCCAAAAAGGUCCGUUGAGCGCCUCGUGGGUAUGUCAUAAUAGAUUCGAACACUUGCCCUGGAUCGACUUCCAGAUCAUAAUUGCUCUAGUGAAUAACUAAAGAAACUAGAUAAAUGAGAGAUAGAAAAGAAAGAAACUAAUUCUAAGCAUCUCUCAUAAGUUCACUAAUUACUUUUCUUGACUAUUGGCGGGUCUCUUUAUAUGUGUUGUCCGGAAAGAGGAGGACUCAAUGAUUAUUCGUUCGCCGGAACCAGAAGUAAAAAUUUUGGUAGAUAGGGAUCCCAUCAAAACUUCUUUCGAGGAAUGGGCCAGACCCGGUCAUUUCUCAAGAACAAUAGCUAAAGGACCUGAUACUACCACUUGGAUCUGGAACCUACAUGCUGAUGCUCACGAUUUCGAUAGCCAUACCAGUGAUUUGGAGGAGAUUUCUCGGAAAGUAUUUAGUGCUCAUUUCGGCCAACUCUCCAUCAUCUUUCUUUGGCUGAGUGGCAUGUAUUUCCACGGUGCUCGUUUUUCCAAUUAUGAAGCAUGGCUAAGCGAUCCUACUCACAUUGGACCUAGCGCUCAAGUGGUUUGGCCAAUAGUGGGCCAAGAAAUAUUGAAUGGCGAUGUGGGCGGGGGUUUCCGAGGAAUACAAAUAACUUCCGGUUUUUUUCAGAUUUGGAGAGCAUCUGGAAUAACUAGUGAAUUACAACUGUAUUGUACCGCAAUUGGUGCAUUGGUCUUUGCAGCCUUAAUGCUUUUUGCUGGUUGGUUCCAUUAUCACAAAGCUGCUCCAAAAUUGGCUUGGUUCCAAGAUGUAGAAUCUAUGUUGAAUCACCAUUUAGCGGGGCUACUAGGACUUGGGUCUCUUUCUUGGGCGGGACAUCAAGUACAUGUAUCUUUACCAAUUAACCAAUUUCUAAACGCUGGAGUGGAUCCUAAAGAAAUCCCACUUCCUCAUGAAUUUAUCUUGAAUCGGGAUCUUUUGGCUCAACUUUAUCCCAGUUUUGCUGAGGGAGCAACCCCAUUUUUUACCUUGAAUUGGUCAAAAUAUUCGGACUUUCUUACUUUUCGUGGAGGAUUAGAUCCAGUGACUGGGGGUCUAUGGCUGACCGAUACUGCACACCAUCAUUUAGCUAUUGCA
rnacentral:misc_RNA from 1 species